AAACCAUGGUGAGGGCAUUCUAAGAGGAAGUCCUUAAAUCUUUCUAUGAAUUUAGAAAAGGACUCGUUUGGUUUCUGUCUAAACUGGAGUAUGUCACUCUUGAGUUU